rnacentral:rRNA from 1 species
CGGAUAGACAGGUCACGUGGUUGCGGUAAGACUGGGGAUCUGAGUGGUAGCCGGAAUCAUGGGGGUUACAGGGGCCGUAUGUGGCCUUAUUAGUCAGGGGUGAAAGUUUUUGGCUUAACCACAAAAUUGUCAUUGAGACUGUAGGGCUUGAAUAUUUGUGAAGUAACUAGAAUAUGUAGUGUAGCGGUGAAAUGCUUAGAUAUUACAUGGAAUACCAAUUGCGAAGGCAGGUUACUAACAAAUGAUUGACGCUGAUGGACGAAAGCGUGGGUAGCGAACAGGAUUAGAUACCCUAGUAGUC